CAGAGAAUAGUUUAUUAAAAAUAUUAAUUUUGGAGAUUAAUGAUAGGAUGAUUUCUUUCUCUGA
rnacentral:tRNA from 1 species